GAUGAACGCUGGCGGCGUGCCUAAUACAUGCAAGUCGAGCGAACAGACGAGGAGCUUGCUCCUCUGACGUUAGCGGCGGAAGGGUGAGUAACACGUGGAUAACCUACCUAUAAGACUGGGAUAACUUCGGGAAACCGGAUCUAAUACCGGAUAAUAUAUUGAACCGCAUGGUUCAAUAGUGAAAGACGGUUUUGCUGUCACUUAUAGAUGUAUCCGCGCCGCAUUAGCUAGUUGGUAAGGUAACGGCUUACCAAGGCAACGAUGCGUAGCCGACCUGAGAGGGUGAUCGGCCACACUGGAACUGAGACACGGUCCAGACUCCUACGGGAGGCAGCAGUAGGGAAUCUUCCGCAAUGGGCGAAAGCCUGACGGAGCAACGCCGCGUGAGUGAUGAAGGUCUUCGGAUCGUAAAACUCUGUUAUUAGGGAAGAACAAAUGUGUAAGUAACUAUGCACGUCUUGACGGUACCUAAUCAGAAAGCCACGGCUAACUACGUG
rnacentral:rRNA from 1 species